CCCCCAAUGUUUCUAGUUGAGUAAGGAUUGCCUUACAAUCUCUAGUUGAUACCUAGUGGAGAAGGUUACAGCAAUCUCUCUCUGUUCUCAGCAUCCUCCUUUGCACUUACUUCCUACCCUUUUACUGUAUUUCAGCAUUGGCUGCCUGGCACCUGCAGGGAACUGGCUUUG